UACGAAGGCAGCAGUGGGGAAUAUUGCACAAUGGGCGCAAGCCUGAUGCAGCCAUGCCGCGUGUAUGAAAAAGGCCUUCGGGUUGUAAAGUACUUUCAGUCGUGAGGAAGGUGUUAAGGUUAAUAACCUUAGCAAUUGACGUUAGCGACAGAAGAAGCACCGGCUAACUCCGUGCCAGCAGCCGCGGUAAUACGGAGGGUGCGAGCGUUAAUCGGAAUUACUGGGCGUAAAGGGCACGCAGGCGGUUAAUUAAGUUGGAUGUGAAAUCCCCGGGCUUAACCUGGGAAUGGCAUUCAAGACUGGUUAGCUAGAGUCUUGUAGAGGGGGUUAGAAUUCCAUGUGUAGCGGUGAAAUGCGUAGAGAUGUGGAGGAAUACCGGUGGCGAAGGCGGCCCCUGGACAAAGACUGACGCUCAUGUGCGAAAGCGUGGGGAGCAAACGAGGAUUAGAUACC
rnacentral:rRNA from 1 species